rnacentral:rRNA from 1 species
AUUGAACGCUGGCGGCAUGCCUUACACAUGCAAGUCGAACGGUAGCACGGGUGCUUGCACCUGGUGGCGAGUGGCGAACGGGUGAGUAAUACAUCGGAACGUACCUUAUCGUGGGGGAUAACGCAGCGAAAGCUGUGCUAAUACCGCAUACGCCCUGAGGGGGAAAGCGGGGGAUCGCAAGACCUCGCGCGAUUAGAGCGGCCGAUGCCUGAUUAGCUUGUUGGUGGGGUAAAAGCCCACCAAGGCGACGAUCAGUAGCUGGUCUGAGAGGACGAUCAGACACACUGGGACUGAGACACGGCCCAGACUCCUACGGGAGGCAGCAGUGGGGAAUUUUGGACAAUGGGGGCAACCCUGAUCCAGCAAUGCCGCGUGAGUGAAGAAGGCCUUCGGGUUGUAAAGCUCUUUUGUCAGGGAAGAAACACCGGCUCUAACACAGUCUGGGAAUGACGGUACCUGAAGAAUAAGCACCGGCUAACUACGUGCCAGCCGCCGCGGUAA